rnacentral:lncRNA from 1 species
UCCCUGAGAGGGAACUUAUUGAGCAUGAGAGAGAGGAAAAUAAUGAUUCCUUGGGUAUGGGAAGUAUAAUAUAUUUAUGUAUUUAUUAAAAGUAUAGAACUUAAAACAGUGUCUGCAUAUAGUAAAUACUCAAAAGUAUGAUAAGGACGACAAAGAUGUGUAUCCCAUGCAUCUAGCCCAGAGGUGGCACAUAGCAACUGCUUGUUAAGUAGUUGUUGGAUUGCUGCACAUGACUAAAUGAAUGGUUUUAUUCUCUGCAAAUUCCAUAAAAGCGGUAGGAAGUUCUCAGUGUUUCCCUCACUUCUUUAGGUAGACCUUCUUGAGCCCCAUGCUCCAGAGCUUCGCUAACAUGGUAGCCCACUAAGACCACAUUCAAGACACUGCAUAAUGCUGGGAACUCAGGACCAGCAGAGCCUUGCCUCAGUGGCCUACACCAAAUACAAGGACUGAGGCUUAUGUGGGAUAAACCAGAACCAGGGAAAGAGUCCUCAAAGCUCCUUGCUAAGGUCAUGUUUAAAGGGCUAGGAUUUGACAUUUUCAACAUGACAUGAGUAAGAAAAUUUUCAAGGGCAACAAAAUGAGAGAUAAGUGGGAAAAACAAAGACCAAUAGAAAACAUUCAACAUGUCUUGUAUUAGUUGGGAACAGAAAUCAUCACUUUGCACCUAGUGUUUGUUUAAUGGCUGCUUGGUUAAGUGACAAGAUGUUUGAAAACUGACACGAUAAAUGAUUUAGUAGAAUCCAGAACUUGUCUGGAUUGAUAGGUAGGAAAACUCAUGUGAAAAAUCCUAAAUACAAAGGAAAAGGUGAAUUAAAUUUCAUAAGUAAAAUUAAAAGUGGAUUCAUCUCAAAACACUACUGACAAUCCUCGGCCUCCCUUGGUGGUUAUCAGUUAAUGGCAGAGGCUUUAAUUCCCUAUUUUACUGUGGCUAAUAAACUAUUAUGAUGACUCUCCUGGGAAUAUCUUACAUACCAAUGUCUGUGACCACAAGUAUCAUCACUACCUCCAGUACUAAUUCUAAUACUAACUGACUCUCUCUUAAGCACAUGGCAAUUGCUAAAGAAAUGAGAUUAUUUCCUUGUUUUCUAGGAUGAUUAGGGCUCUUAUGACUAAGGAUCAAAGUUAAAGAAGACUCAUAGUUAGUCCCAUGAUUCAUGAUUUACACUCAUUACCUAUCUCUAUAUGAAAAAAUAGGGGGUCAGAUUGCAUAAGAUAGAUACAUUACCUUGACUCAGCUAUGCCAUUAUGUCUUUCCCUCGUCUCUUUUUACUUGAGAAUAAUAAAUAGAGAAGAGAUGAACAGGAGAAACAAAUGAGAGUGUGCCUUUAUAUGUGUUCCUGAUAGGUAACUUUGGUUUUUCCUCCAUGAUCAUAGUCCAUUGGCCCAUCCCAGAUGUGCUGGGAAACAGGGUGCUAGAUACUUUAUUAUUGCCCGAUAUCUAAAAGAACUGCAGCCUCUAUAGAGAAAGAAAAAGGAGAUUCUUGCUAGAGCCAUGGGUAAAUACAUCCAGCUCUCUGAGAAACACAGCUCAAGAAGGAAUGACCAAGGAGAUGAGGAGGGGAGGAGAGGUAUUAGAGGAAUGGGCAGGUGGAGGCCUUCUAAAUGCUCUUGACCUUAUGUGGAUGCUCAAGGUGAGCAUACAUGCAUGUGGAUGUUCAGGGUAUGUUCCAGGAGCAAUGGAAGGUUCAAGAUUGCCAAGGCCUUGAGCCAAUAUAUGUGUUAGCCAUGGGUGGGCGGUAUGUAGGUGCUGUGUGAUGUGCGACGUCACAGUAAAUGUUCAGAGGGGAAGUGGACGAGAGAGGUGAAUGAGGUUCUGCCUUUACUUGUGUUUCCCCACUAAUUAAGUACAAAGGCACUCUCAACCAUGUAUUCACAGUCAUGGUGUGGAUCUCACCAGGGAUGGAUGCUUUCGGGUUUCUCACAAAAGCCAAGUAAGGAAGGUAGGCGGGGAGAAACUUACAGUAAAUCUCCUCAUUAAUGAAAAUCUGGUUUUAAGGCGAUUUGCUUUGGUUCACAGCUUAUUUUCAAGAUCGGGAUUAAUAUUAAUUGUAAAUUUAUGGAAAGUGGAUCUACUUAGGAUACAGCAGGUUCCCUGUGCAUAUCUGUGUAUGUCCUCUGGGGAUAUAUGACUCAGAAGGAUGUGGCUUGCAUGGCAGUUUGCAUAACUGGUGUGACAAUGGCCUGUGCAUUCAUUUGAUGUCUGGAACAGCUGCAUGCUUGGAAAGGUUUACAUCUGGAAGUUGAGAUGAAGUGCCCUGGGCAUUGUGAAGAUUUGCAUUGCAAGUUCAGUAUAGCUCACAUCUUCAUGUACUCUGUAAUCAUAAUAACAGCCAUAUUAACAUUAAAUACAUUUUAAGCAGUUAAUAUGUGCAAGGUAGUUUUACUCAUUUAAUCCUCACAAUAGCCCUAUGAGUCAGAUUUUAUUCCUUGUGUAACAGACAUGAGGAAUAUGAUCCACUGGAAGGUUAAGAAGCUUUCCCAAGGUCAUACAGCUACUAAAAAGAGGAGAAACAUCUUGAACCCAAACAGGGUAGUUCCAGAGUCCAUAUGAUCAAAUAUAGGACCACCCUACUGAGGCAUGCCCACUAGAGCUGGAAUUAUAUAAACGUGUGUAGAAGAGUGAGUUGUGUAUGUAAAUUACAUCCAUGCAAAGAAUAAUUAGUCAAUAGAGCAUGCUAAUAGUUCUGUGCGAUCUAUACCAUAUUUCAUCAAUUCUAAGGUACAUAUGUUUUAUUCACUAAUGUUUCUGAAAUUGAAUUACAUCUUAGAGUUGAUGAUAAGAAAGCAUUAUAUUCUAAUUUAAUUGACUAUAUAUAUUUCUUUCUUGGUGACUCAUGAAAUAACAGUGUGUCAUAAUCAGUACCAUCUAUUGUCAAUAAAAUACAGAAAGUAGUUUUUCAUGCCGUGUGUAGCAAAUUAAGGGAUAGUACAUACAUAAAUGCAGAUAAAAGAAUGUUGGUGGAUAUGUAUAUGUUUGUUUUCUGGCUUAAGUUUAAUAUAUAUGCUCUGACUUAAAAAAAAAUUGCACAUUUCCUCCACGACAGGGUCCACAAGAUAAAGUAGCAAAUGUGGAGAAAUAUCAGAGUGCAAAUGAGGGAUAAAAUUGACAGCCUAUAAUAUGUAAAGAACAGAUAAAUACAUGCCAGUAAAUAAGCAAAGGAGUGACUAACUCAUAAAGUUUGUGAGUUGAAUUCAAGUUCAGCCCAGUCAGAUUCCCAGCUCUAUCCUAAUUAAACACAAGUACACAAGCUGCUGUCCUACCAGCCAGCCCUGUCCUGGAGGAAAUAUGCAUCCUGUGUUCUUUGAGUCAGGGCAGGUUCAUCAGACUGCAGCCAGAAAACAGCCAUUUAUUCUUCCACCAAUAGUCUUUUCAUUCAUACAUACUAUUUCCUAACCUCUAGCAGCCUCAGUCCCCUAAUGUGAGGAAGAGAGAAAAUAAGUCCACCUUUCAAAUAUUUUUCUAUGAACAAAAACAUACAUGCAAAGUUCCUGGCACAUGAUAAGUACUCCCUAAAAUAUAUUGGUUGUUAUUAUUAUUAUUACUAUGUUUUGCUAAUGCGGCUAUAUCAGAAGCAUCACAUUCUCACCACAUGCCUUCUUACUUCAUUACUGUUGAAAGGCAUCUGAUGUUUCAUUAGGUUAUUACUGGCAGCAUUCCUACAGCAUCCCUACCAUCCUGAGAAUCCUUUCCAUGGGCAACAACAACUUUCCAGGAGAGGGCACUAGAUCCUUUUCUGGGCUAAAUGCUCAUGUGUAUCAUUGAUAUGAAUCAAAAUUCAUGAAAUCCCUCAAGGUAAUUAAAAUAUAGUUAUUAUAGGUAUAUGCUCUGUUAAAAAUUUCAGAUUAUCUAUCAAGCAAUCAUCAACAGAUCUAUCAUCUAUAUAACUAGUCCAAGUUUUCUCCAAAAUAGUGUUUAGACACUAUCUUUGUUUUAGGCUCAACAUCGGUAUAAUUAUGCCUACAUUUAUAGGAACAAUUCUGAAAUAGCAAUCUGUCUUACAUUUCACAGCUUUUUAUAUUCAUUGGUUUGGGGUGAGAAGAUGUAUGUACCAAUAUCAGUCCAUCAAUGGAGUUCCCAUGUGCUCCACAGGUUAAGGAUCCAGCACCGUCACUGCAGUGGCUUGGGUUGCUGCCAAGGCAUAUGUUUGAUCCCUGGCCCGGGAACUUCCAUAUGGCUUGGGUGCGACCAAAAAAAAUUUAGAAUCCAUCAUUUUCCCCUGAGUGUGGCAUGGGCUGGGGAAUUCAAGCAUGCUUCUAAUGCUAUUGGUGAAUUAGUGUUUUAAUGAGGGAUAUAGCAUAUAUGAUUCACAUUUUUAGCUGGAGAAAUCAAAGCCUAGAGUGAUUCAGUGAUUCGCUGAGUGACUAGCUAUUAUGCUUGUUUUCUGUCUCAAAUGUUAGCUCCAGGUUGCCUAAUUUGGAUGGGAAUAUGAAAUGGGGAAGGAGACUGAGUCACAUACUCAUGAGGUUUACCUCUUGUUCUGAUGUCUGCUUCCAUUUUCUAAAAAGGGAGCCUGGGUCAUCAGAUUCUGAAACUAUAAUGAACUAAGGAGCAUACUGUUCUAUUUUUCAGGAUGUAAACUAGAAGAAAGAAUCAAUGCCUCAGCUUUACUUAUUAUUUUUUAUUGGUCUUUAGAGUUAAACAAGAUUUUAGAGAUUAAAAUGCCCAACUUUCAUCUACUUAGCUUUGCUGGCAGAUGCUUGGAGGUGGGUGCUGGGAAUAUUUAAGAGUGGGUGACCACUGCUAGGGAUAUUAUAGGUAGACUGUGUUUUAGCUGUGGUUGUAAAUCAAAUAACUAGCAUUUACCAGCCAUGCAAAGGGCACUUACAAAAUAUGCAUUUAAUGAUUUAAUAAUUUUCUGCUCAAGUUUGAUCCCUGUCCUGGGAACUUCCACAUGCCAUGGGCACAGCCAAAAAAUAAUAAUAAUAAUUUUCUGAUUUGGUUUAAAUGUUGUAUUCUAUUACACCUGAAGUUUAUACUAAAUCUAGUGUUCCAGGAGUUCCUGUCGUGGCUCAGUGGUUAAUGAAUCCGACUAGGAACCAUGAGGUUGCGGGUUCUGUCCCUGGACUUGCUCAGUGGGUUAAGGAUCUGGCAUGGCCAUGAGCUGUGGUCGCAGAUGCGGCUCGGAUCCCGCAUUGCUGUGGCUCUGGCGUAGGCCGAUGGCUACAGCUCCGAUUAGACCCCUAGCCUGGGAACCUCCAUAUGCCACGGGAGCAGCCCAAGAAAUGGC